GGGCAAACAUGCACAUCCCUGGCGUGAAACAACUAGGCCAAACCAAUAGCGCAUCUCCUAUGCAACUGAAUAUCAACCCUGUCAAUAUUCGUCUGGAGAAUCUGUAUCUGAAAAAUAAGACCGUCAAUCAUGAUUAUUGCCCAGCUCUGACCCAAGGUUCCAAGCAAACAGAAGCACAGAGAAGCAGUGAAGAAAUAUUCUAGCUUACACUUACAUUUUCAGGUGACUUUUUCGCUUGUAAUAUUUUUCAAUCAAUGUUCAUCUUUUAUAAAGCGAUAUAAUUUUUUUUUUUUGUUUAAAAUAUUACAGAAAUAUCGUUAAUAUAUAUAUUGCCGGCUGCCGAAACGUAAUAGCGAACAUUUCGUACGUUACAUAGGAAGAAGAGCAAUCAUCGAAAAUUGCUCUUACGAGAUCAAUCGAGAAUUUCGCGCGAUCUGUGGAGUGCGAAAAUCGUUAAAAAGAACAAACUUGGCGGGACGUUUAAAAAUAUGUGCGUUACCGAUUAGGAAAAAAAAGUGACCUGAAAAUAAGCAUGUAAGCGAGGUCGUAUGAUAAAUGGCUAGCACCUACGAGUAGCCACGGAAAUGUAACAUUGACUCGAUUAACUCGUAUCUUCCGCUCAGUAAAACGCUUGCUCGUUAGAAGUAUCAUUUUGUAGAUAUAAUAUGACAUAUGUAUAGUAACUCACAGAACUAUUCAAAUAUCUAUAAACAUUCUGUAUGAAUAUAUUACGCGUAUUAUAUAUUACACACAUUUUCUAAACAUUUUCGGAUUUUAUUACCACCAUAAUGAGUCGUAGCUACCAUGAUUAUAUCGGUAAAAUUUCAGUCGAAUGUAAAAAUAUACAUGGAAGCUACAAAAUAUUUAGUGCAAAUAUAAAAUAUCUUGUAACUAUUAUACUAUAUACUAUAUACUAUAUACUAUAUAUAUUAUAGUGUAUCAUAUAUUUAUGCAGACAAAAGAGUAUUAAGUCAGAAUUAUUAGUUUUGCAAAGAACUACUAACAAUAUUUAAAGUACGAUGUAAGAUCAACUGUUAGAAUAUGUUUCAUUCCAUUGCACUUACAAAACAUUUGUUAUGUUCAUUUAGAUUUGGAAACAUUCUUCUUUCUUUGAAAUUGAUGAUCUAUGUUAUUUUGACCAAAAUCUCCAGUUUGAUAUUUUUAUUUGAUCAACCAGUAUCUGACACAAUUGCGUUUUACAAAAAUGAUUCGAAUUAACCACAGAUCACGAAUAAAGGAUAUACUUAUCCUGGUUUGACUAAAAUUUAACUUAUAUCUUUUUGUUCACCCAUCAUUGAUAUAUAUAUAUUUUCAGAUUGAUUUUUUAUCGAUAUAAUCAUGAUAGUCGUGUCAUACUAAUAUGUACAUAAAAAUUGCCCAUGUUAAAUGUUGAAAUGUUUUAAUGAGUCACUGUAAACGGCAACAACUACGUUGCGUCGUUAAGUUGAUAACAAAAAUGGAAACACGGAGGUCGAUAAAUUACCUCCGGGUUAAUACUUCUCGAUUUUAUUUCCAAAAUGCAUGGAGCGCUAGUGACACUACUGAACAAGAGGCGUGAGACAAAAAGGAUCGGCACAUGCAAAAUUCUGUCGCACUUACUCCUGCGAUAAACUAAUUCCAUGUAGAAGAACAAAGACGAUAAGACUUAUAAUUGGCAAACACUUGAAACAUGCCGUCAGCAGGGAC